rnacentral:rRNA from 1 species
GAUGAACGCUGGCGGCGUGCCUAAUACAUGCAAGUCGAGCGAACAGACGAGGAGCUUGCUCCUCUGACGUUAGCGGCGGACGGGUGAGUAACACGUGGAUAACCUACCUAUAAGACUGGGAUAACUUCGGGAAACCGGAGCUAAUACCGGAUAAUAUAUUGAACCGCAUGGGUCAAUAGUGAAAGUCGGUUUUUCUGGCACUUAUAGAUGGAUCCGCGCCGCAUUAGCUAGUUGGUAGGGUUACGGCUUACCAAGGCUACGAUGCGUAGGCGACCUGUGAGGGUGAUCGGCCACACUGGAACUGAGACACGGUCCAGACUCCUACGGGAGGCAGCAGUAGGGAAUCUUCCGCAAUGGGCGAAAGCCUGACGGAGCAACGCCGCGUGAGUGAUGAAGGUCUUCGGAUCGUAAAACUCUGUUAUUAGGGAAGAACAAAUGUGUAAGUAACUGUGCACGUCUUGACGGUACCUAAUCAGAAAGCAACGGCUAACUACGUG